GAUCAUGGCUCAGGAUGAACGCUAGCUACAGGCUUAACACAUGCAAGUCGAGGGGAAACGAUAUUGGAAGCUUGCUUCCGAUAGGCGUCGACCGGCGCACGGGUGGGUAACGCGUAUCCAACCUGCCCACCACUUGGGGAUAACCUUGCGAAAGUAAGACUAAUACCCAAUGAUAUCUCUAGAAGACAUCUGAAAGAGAUUAAAGAUUCAUCGGUGAUGGAUGGGGAUGCGU
rnacentral:rRNA from 1 species